GGAAGGUCAAUCCGAAAGACGGCGACGGAGAUUGUCUUGAAAACAAUUGAGCUGUGAAAAGCCUUAGGGGUUCGACCCCCCUACCUUCCG
rnacentral:tRNA from 1 species